rfam:Daphnia pulex DAPPTscaffold_1659_Cont13287, whole genome shotgun sequence.
GGUCCUAUGGCUUAGAUGGCAAAGCGCCUGCCUAGUAAGCAGGAAAUCACGAGUUCUGAGUCUCGUUGGGACCU